GUUCUCCCCGAAAUAGCUUUAGGGCUAGCGUUGGAAAGAACCUUAGUGAAGGUAGAGCACUGAAUGUGUGAUGGCCCCAUCCCGGGGUACUGAAUACAAUCAAACUGCGAAUGUCAUUAAGGAUGUCCGGCAGUCAGACUGUGAGUGAUAAGGUCCAUGGUCAAGAGGGAAACAGCCCAGACCGCCAGUUAAGGUCCCAAAAUACAGGCUAAGUGGAAAAGGAUGUGGGGAUGCCCAGACAACUAGGAGGUUGGCUCAGAAGCAGCCAUCCUUUAAAGAGUGCGUAACAGCUCACUAGUCGAGUGACCCUGCGCCGAAAAUGUACCGGGGCUAAGCCUGAUACCGAAACUGCGGAUUGUAGGAAACUAUAGUGGUAGGGGAGCGUUGUAUACGAGCAGAAGCCGUACCGUGAGGAGCGGUGGAUUGUAUAGAAGUGAGAAUGCCGGUGUGAGUAGCGAGAUGUAGGUGAGAAUCCUACACACCGAAAGCCCAAGGAUUCCAGGGGAAGGUUCGUCCGCCCUGGGUAAGUCGGGACCUAACGCGAGGCCGAAAGGCGUAGUGGAUGGAAAGCAGGCGAAAGAUUCCUGCACCCGUAUAUGGAGCGAAGGAGUGACGGAGACGGAUAGUGUGACCCUCUUAAUGGAUUGAGGGCGAAGCGAAGCGGCUGGUUACCAGGCAAAUCCGGUAACCUCAAGGCUAGGGCGUGACAGGCAAGCGAAAUCCAAGGAAAGUAGCGAAGCACAUGAUGACGGCUUCCAGGAAAAGCUUCUGGCAAUGCAUAUGCGGCCCGUACCAAAACCGACACAGGUGGGCAGGGAGAGAAUCCCGAGGUGAGCGAGAGAACUGUUGCCAAGGAACUCGGCAAAAUGACUCCGUAAGUUAGCGAGAAGGAGUGCUUAAGCAAUUAAGCCGCAGUGAAGAGGCCCAAGCGACUGUUUAACUAAAACACAGCUCUCUGCGAAGUCGCAAGACGAAGUAUAGGGGGUGACACCUGCCCGGUGCUGGAAGGUUAAGAGGAUCUGUUAAGAGCGAUCUGAAGCAGUGAUCCGAAGCCCCAGUGAACGGCGGCCGUAACUAUAACGGUCCUAAGGUAGCGAAAUUCCUUGUCAGGUAAGUUCUGACCCGCACGAAAGGUGUAACGAUUUGGGCGCUGUCUCGGCAGCAGACUCGGUGAAAUCUUAGUACCUGUGAAAAUGCAGGUUACCCGCAACUAGACGGAAAGACCCCAUGGAGCUUUACUGCAGCCUGAUAUUGAAUUCUGGUCAUACAUGUACAGGAUAGGUGGGAGACAAAGAGACGUGCACGCCAGUGUACGAGGAGUCGGCGUUGGGAUACCACUCUUGUGUGACCGGGGUUCUAACCUGGUAUCGAGAACAGGUACGGGGAGAGUGUCAGGUGGGCAGUUUGACUGGGGCGGUCGCCUCCCAAAGAGUAACGGAGGCGCCCAAAGGUUCCCUCAGCGCGGCCAGAAAUCGCGCGCAGAGUGCAAAGGCAGAAGGGAGCUUGACUGCGAGUCAGACAAGACGAGCAGGGACGAAAGUCGGGCUUAGUGAUCCGGUGGCAUCCAAGUGGAAGGGCCAUCGCUCAACGGAUAAAAGCUACCCUGGGGAUAACAGGCUGAUCUCUCCCAAGAGUUCAUAUCGACGGGGAGGUUUGGCACCUCGAUGUCGGCUCA
rnacentral:rRNA from 1 species